rnacentral:lncRNA from 1 species
GGGGAAUCGUUUCAAAGAAUACCCCUAAUGAAAGGAACAAAAUAAAGGGAGGAAGAAAGAGUUGUCUGUGUCCUACAAAACCAUUGGAAAGGAAUCCAUCCUUCUAUCUGGGCUCCAGCUGCGACCAGAGGCCCCUUCCGUGCUCCAGCUCCCAGUAGGCCCCAACAGCAUCCGUCACAACAUGCUUCCCCAUCCCAUGUGUCUAUAAGGGGUCCUUCAUUGAAGCCUCUUCAUUUGAACCAUCCAGGAUCCAUUCUGCUUCCUGCCUUGACCCUGGUGCAGCCAGUUGGUAGAAGAUAAAACUGGGACCCAUAGAGCGCUGUGUAGCUCUUCAGGGUGGCCAUGUACAUUUGUGUAUGCUGUAGACUGCACAACUGCAGGGGCCGCCAUUCACUUCGCAAUCCAUGGGAAUGAUUUGCCCCAGAUUUAUGCAGCACAC